rnacentral:rRNA from 1 species
UACGAAGGGGGUGAGCGUUGUUCGGAAUUAUUGGGCGUAAAGCGCACGUAGGCGCCCUAAAAGUCCCAUGUGAAAGCCCACGGCUUAACCGUGGAAGUGCAUGGGAAACUGUAGGGGCUUGAGUACUAAAGAGGAUCGCGGAAUUCCCAGUGUAGAGGUGAAAUUCGUAGAUAUUGGGAAGAACACCGGUGGCGAAGGCGGCUCACUGGCUCGUAACUGACGCUCAGGCGCGACAGCGUGGGGAUCAAACAG